ACGGUGCCUCUGGCAGAUUCCUCCCCCUCAUCAGCUACACCUGGUACCUCCAGCUGCGCCUCCUCAACCUCGUCAGCCGGCAGACUCUUAAGGAGACCUCGGACCUGUAAUCAACGCUAGUUCGUUGUACUCCCACGGAUCUCGCCCUCACGAGUUACUCCACUGGUUGCUGUCCACCUCUCGCUCCAUCGCCCUCCUGGCUACCAUCACGGAUCAUACGGUUGUCGCCGCCAAGACCCUCCAACCAACACCUCUGGCCUCCACAGAAGAACCUGGGACUCAAUAUUAUUCCUGCAGUUAAAAUUAAACCUUUAUUACUCACCUCA